rnacentral:lncRNA from 1 species
AUGAUUUUACUUAAAAUUCCUUUAUUCUUUUCAGGGGUCACCAAUUCCAAUAAAUCUCUCUGUGGCCACUGCCAAUCAGAAAUAUACCAGAGAACUGUCAUGGAUGCACCCAGUAGCCAUGGCCUCAGUCUCUUCAUCUACAAACUGACAGCCACAUUACCAAUGGUGUGUAUAAGGUUGUUAUUUUUUAAUGCUAGAAAUGAUAAAGCCAUGCCCUGGAUAGAAAACUUGAAUUAAUGAAAGAACUGGAAAUGAUAAGCGAAAGACACACCAUUUUCCUCCUUUCCUACCUCUGAAAUCCCACCAAAACCCCAGAACUGUAUUGCUUUAUAGCUGGGUUUUGUUGAACUUUCAAUAAACAGAGAUAUAUACCUCAUGUGUUUUGUUUCCAGAGGGGAAGUUCAGGGGCUCCUGCAUGGCUUAGUUGGUUAAGUGUCUGCUUUUGGCUCAGGUCAUGAUAUCUGGAUCCUGGGAUUGAGCCCCAAAGUGAGUGAGCUCCUGCUCAGCUUUCCCGGCCAGUCCCCCUGCUUGUGCUCUCUCUGUCAAAUAAAUAAAUAAAAUAUUUAAAUUUAAAGAGAGAAAGUUCAUUAAUAAGUUUUAUAAGGCUAGCACAAAACCAGAUAGCCUUGUAAAACCUGAAGAAUACUCUAAAACCAGCUAAGAAUAGUUAAAGAAAAGUGUAUAAUAGACCACUUCUAUUUUAAUCUAGAAUAUAUACCUUAGGUAAGCUUUAUGUAAUUGAAUCCAAAGUAUACUAGGAAACUAAGGGUGGUUCAACAUCAUGCUCUAUCAUUAUUGUUUAAAACUGCCUUCAUUUUUACCACAUAAUUGAGUAUUACAAAUGCAUAUAAGGCAGCCCGGGUGGCUCAGCAGUUUAGCGACACCUUCAGCCCAGGGUGUGAUCCUGGAGACCUGGGAUCAAGUCCCAUGUUGGGCUCCCUGCAUGGAGCCUUUUCUUCCUCUGCCUGUGUCUCUGCCUCUCUCUCUCUCUCUCUCUCUCUCUGUGUGUGUGCCUCAUGAAUAAAUAAAAAAUCUUUUUAAAAAAUUCAUAUAAAGCAUUUCAUAAAUUAUAUAUGAUUUAAAAAUCUUAGAAGACAAGGAAUAGAUUGAACCUUUGCAACAAUAAAAAUCUGUAUACUUAAACCUACAGAAAGCAACCUUCUUAAAGGAGGAAAUAUAGAUGAAUUGAGAUGCAUAAGACCAGGAAUAUGAUAUUGAUGUUCAUCACCACCAUUACUUUUUAGCAUAAUAUUAAAGAUUCUCACCAAUUGCUAUGGUCUGAAUGUUCACAUUCUCUCCCCCCAAAACAAAUUAAAAUUUUGAAAUCUGAAUGUACAAUGUGAUGGUAUUAGUAGGUAAGACUUUUGGAAGGUAAUUAAGUCACAAGGGCAGAACCCUCCACGAAUGACAUUUAAUGCCCUUAGGAAAGAGAUCUCAAAGAGCCCCCUUGCCACCUUAUGUCACGUGAAGACACAAUGAGAAUUCUGCAACCCAGAAAAGAACCCUUAUCUGACUAUGCUACUGCCCUGAUUUUGGACUUCCUCCAUUCAGAACCACAAGCAGUAAAUUUCUGCUAUUGAUAAGCUAUUCUGCUUGUGGUAUUUUGUUACAGCAGCCCAAAUGGACCAAAACACCAAGCAUUUAAGAAACAGACAGAAGGGAUAUAAGGAUCAUCAGGGAAGAGAAAAAAAUUUAUAUGAUAACUCAAUAAACAAUUUGUUAAUAAUAAUUAGAAAGUUCACCUGGAUUAAAGCUAACCUUAGGAAAUCAAUGACAUUAUUAGCAAUAAACAGCUAGAAAAUAAAUUUUAAAAUGAGACUCCACUUAGAAAUUUAAAAGUAUAUCAUUUUAUUAAAAAUAAGAAAAUUUUA